GUUGCACAAAAGCCAGGAAAAUGUAUGAACAAACUGAUUACAGUUGUCAGAAAAUUGUUAUUUUUCAUCUACCGAUACAACCAUUUGUAAUUUAAUAAUGCAGACGUUGAUGUAGAUGUACGAAUGUAUAUGCUUUAAUCCACUAACCCAAAAAAAAAAAAAAUCUCAAUCAACAACUCAUUCAAGCAUUCCAUUUCUCAGCUCCUCUGUAUGCCGUUCCUUUUCACUCUUCAAAACUCAAACAAGAAGUUUAGAAUACCUGUUGUACUUGUAUUUCAGGAUCUUUUUCCAUGGAGUUCUUUGGAAAGCUUGUUAAGAGCACGAUCCAAAAAGCCGUUCAGAGUGUGAAUCGAACUUCCACUGAUGUUUUUGAUUCUCUAUGUGAGGAGUUGUACCAAUUGGAACAGCGUUAUUAUGAUAGGGAUAGAGAUGCUGCAGAUCAAAUUCGAAUCCUUGAAAUUGAAGCAGGGCUGAUGAGAAUGUUUCAGAUGUUGGUGACGAAUUGGGAUGAUGCUGAUAAGCAGCGUGGUGCUGGUCAGGGGUUGGGGUCUGUAGUUCGAGAUCUUGAAGUUGCAUUUAAGAAGGCAAUGAAUGAUGUAAGAAUUGCUGCUCGAGAAGAGGUUAUUGUAGUUGCAAUUUCUAAGUUAGAACUGAAGCAUAUGUGUUCGAGCCCACAAGUGGAAGCAGCUUAUGAGUAUGUUGCAUCUAACUACUCAUUGAGAUCCCACGAUUUUUUAAGCAAUUAUGAUAACUGGUAUAACUUCUUUAACUGUCUACGAAUUAUUGUUUGGCGGCAAAUUGACUUGCUCAGCCAUAUCUGCCCACAAUUUGGUACCAUGUAUGAUAUGCUAGAGUGUCUCGGUACUUAUGUUGAAAAGAUGAGAUAUUCUUGUCCUAAUCUACAAAUAAAACUUCGGACUCAUUUUGGAGGUGCACUUGUCCGCACAGCGCAUUUUUCUUAUUUGUGCUGGAUUCAUCGAAUGCAUGAAGACAAGAAACGGCAGAUGAUCAUCAUGCUUUCUGAUCUGUUAAAGGCGUUCAAGCCUAAUACGCCACAAGUUACGGAGCUGUGUAUCAAAUUAACCAGCGAUCAUUGCUCAUGCCACUCUGAGCCAUAUGCAUAUGUGUAUCUGGUAGAAAAAUUUAUUGGUUUUCUCAUUCCUAAGGAGUGUUCUCGACUUCAAACCUUCUGCAAAAGGCUCAAAGAUCUGGUAUUCUUUGCCCGUUCCAUUUAUGUGUCAGAUCUCUACAGGGCGGAUGAUGUGAAGCUGACUUUAAUGGAGAUUAAAGCAACCAUUAUCGAGCUUGGAUCUUUCGGUUAUUCAGUUCAUGAUAGAGAGGAAACAUGGGACACCGAUCCUGCAUUUUUUAGAUUGGUAGAAAAGAUGGAGCUUCUAAGGGUAGAGGUCUUCCUGAUCCGACUGCUAAACCAAAAAGGCAGUUUAAAGUUCCUUGAGCGUCAAAUUGAUUCUUUCCACAAUGAACUGGAGUAUUUUCGAGAUUACCAGAGAAAUGCACCUGUGGCGAAAACUAAAGUUCCUAAGCUGAUUUGGUUGCAUAUCAGACCUGUGGCUGGGGAGGCUGGCUCUGUUUAUCGAUCAUUUCUUGCCAAGUCCAUCACUGAAGACAAGUUCACAGAUGAGUUACUUAAGUUGCUAGAGAAGAUUAAACUUUUGAAGACGGAGGUACUUUUUGAAGAGCUUCUUAGUAGACACCCAAGUCUGACAGACAAUGUGAAGCGCCAAAUUAACAGCCUUGGUCAUUGGCUGGUAGUCAGCAGAACUUAUUUGAUGGGUCCGCUAGAGGAGAAUGAGAAAUCGAUCUUGACACAAGUAGAGUCAGUAGCAAGGGAUGCAGCUUGUUUCUAUUACUCUCUUCUUGAAAAUGAAAUUACGGAAGAAACAAUGAGGGAAUUCAGUCAUUUGCUUCCUGAGUUAGUUGACAAGAUGAAGGUUGUCAAUGCAGAGAUCAAAGAAAUUUACCUACCUCACAGACGGUCAUUAAGAUCUAAUUUUCCCAAGAUGGAAGGACUUGGCAGCAUUGAUUUCUUUUUAGUAGAUCUCUUGGAGCAGCUCAAGUCUAAAGCCGGCUCUGUUCUUUCAGUGAAACAUAAAUUUCAUGUCGUUCACAGAGAGAUAAAGUUCUUGAGAUCAUUCCUCACGAACAUUGAAGAGAAGUAUGAUAAGCAUCAGGAUUUGAAGAGUGUUGCUUCGAGCAUUGUACAAGUAACACUCGAGGCAGAAUAUCUCAUUGAUUCAUUUGUGGCUGGAGAUUCUUUGAGAUGGUAUCAUCCAUUAUGGCUUUCUGAUCUCGUGGAAGACCUCAAACUUAUUAAGCUUCAGGCAAGAAAAACUUGUAAGAAUGCACAUGGCAUCAACAUUCAUAAUGUUCCCACCGCUUCAACAAUGGUAUCAUCACAGGCAGAAAUUCGCAAGAUUGAUGAAGUUGUUAUUGAUCUUGCUGAUGAAAAGAAACUGUUCAUUGAUAGACUUAUAGCAGGAUCAGGAAAACUAGGUGUUUUCUCAGUUGUUGGGAUGGCUGGACUCGGCAAGACAACUUUAGCCAGGAGGGUGUACGACGAUCCUUCAGUUACCGAUCACUUCCACGUUCAAGCAUGGUGUUGUAUCUCCCAAACAUAUCAGAAGAGAGAAUUGCUUCUUCAAAUUUUACGCAACAUUGUGGAACUUACAGAUGACGUGCUCGAAAUGAGUGAUGAAGAUUUGGUGAUGAAGUUGUACCAAUGCUUGAAGAGCUAUAGGUACCUCGUUGUUAUGGACGAUAUGUGGAGCAUUGAGGCAUGGAAUGAUUUCAAAAUAUCAUUUCCGAAUGACAACAAUGGAAGCAGAAUACUGAUCACGACCCGUCACUCUGAUGUGGCUGCAGAAGUUCAAGUAGAUGGUACUCCUCAUCCUCUUCGGCUACUAUCUGAUGACGAAAGUUGGGAGCUGUUACAAAAGAAGUUGUUCGACACAAAAGAGUGCCCCAUUGAACUGAUGGUAGUUGGAAAGCAAAUUGCUGAAAGUUGUAAAGGACUCCCUCUGGCAGUUGUUGCAAUAGCUGGUCUCCUUGAAAAGACUGACAUGAUACCUGACAGGUGGAAACAAGUUUCAGAAAGCAUAUGCUCACAGAUUGCCGAUGAUCCUGAAAGGAGGUGCAUGGACAUUUUAGAGCUCAGCUACAGGUAUCUACCCAACUAUUUGAAACCUUGCUUUCUUUAUAUUGCAGUGUUUUUGGAGGACAAAGACAUUCCAGUUAGGAAGUUGGCAUGGUUAUGGAGAGCAGAAGGAUUUAUAACAGAUUCAGGGGUAGAAAGCAUAGAAGAUAUUGCGGAGGGUUACUUGAGGAAUCUGAUUGGAAGAAGCCUAGUAAUGCCUUCCAAAAGAAGAUCACGUGGAGGAAUGAAAACAUGUCGUGUCCAUGACAUGUUGCGUACAUUAUGCAUCCGAAAGUCUGAAGAAGAAAACCUUUUGCAGUUCCAAAAUGGGUAUGAUGAACUUUUUGAUUCUUCUCAUGAGGAUAUAGACUAUGGCGUUGAUCCCAAUUACAUUUACCCCAAAAACACCAUCAAAUACCAAAAACGUCGGCUGUCUAUUUUUUCCAAGAGACAUCAUUUUACCAUGUCAAGACCUUCUGGGCCAUUUGUCCGCACUCUGCUGUACUCUGCCACCAGUGAUAUGUAUCCAAGAUGUCCCUAUGACAUCUCCUUCAUUUUUGACAACUUUGAACUUCUUAGAGUGCUGGAUUUGGAAUGCAUCAAUAUGGGAAAUUCUUUCCCCACAGGAGUCCUAGUAUUGGUUGGUCUGAGAUUUUUAGCUCUUUGUGGCGAUAUAGAUAGUAUUCCAGCAUCAAUAAACUAUCUCCGGAAUCUUGAAACCUUGCUUGUGAAGGGAUUGAAAGGUAAAGUAUCACUACCUUAUGCUAUUUGGAGCAUGGAAAAGUUGAGACAUCUCCAUAUCAAGAAUUAUGCUGUCAUCACCUUGGAAGAUGGUGAAAGCACUGUUUUUACCCCAAUACUUAAUCUGGUCAGUCUUUCCUCUCCGUAUCUCUUUUGUGGUAAAGGUACAGAGAAUAUCAUGAGGAGGUUGCUCAAACUUCGGAAAAUGAGAUGUCUAUUUUCUGAAUUACCUGAUGAUACAGGAAAGUGUAAUCAGUUUCCAAUACUGAAUUUUCUAACAGAGCUUGAGUCCCUCAAUGUACUGUACUCAGGCAGGAUUGCUCUUUCAUGUAACUUUGACUUCCCAUUGAAUCUCAGGAAGUUAACUGUGUCAAAGUUUCGCCUGCCAUGGGAUUGUAUUUCGGAGAUUGGGAGAUUACCAAACCUUGAGGUUCUUAAAUUACUCUCUAAAGCUUUUGAGGGGAAAGUGUGGGAGAUGAAAGAAGGAGAGUUCCUUAAACUGAAAUUUUUGAAGCUCGACAGCCUAAACAUUGCUGAAUGGAAUGCCUGUAGUGACCACCUGCCGCAGCUUGUACACCUAAUUUUACGAAGUUGCAGGGAGCUCAAGGAGGUCCCCUCUGGUUUCGGUGACAGUUCUACUCUGGAGAUGAUUGAGGUGCAAUUUUGCACAAGCUCUCUUGUGGAGUCUGUGAGACAGCUCCAGCAGGAACAACUUGACAUGGGGAAUGAGCUGAAGGUCAUUGUUGAUCGGUCAGACUUGGACUUUUGAUCACCACGGUUCUUUCAGUUGGCUGUGUGGAAAAGAGAGUAAACCUCUCAAGGUCGAGAAAGUAAAAGUCUCAGCAGAUGUUGGAAAAAGGGAAUCUGAAUGAUCUUACAUCAAGGAGUUCGGCUUGGACGAGAAAAAGCCUCAAUCUAAAAGGGUUUUCCUCAAUUUUGGCAGCGAAAUGCACUUUCAAGGCUGAUUUUUCUCACCGCUACUAGCCUGGAGGAUCUUUACUGUUGUGGAGUGAAUUUUACAAGCCUGGUGGCAAUUCUAGAAGAUUGUACAUUGGAAGAGGCCUUGCUGUCGUUAAUAUGGUCUUUUGCUGCUUCAGUUUGUUUGGGUUCUUAUUGCCUGUUUUCCUCCGAAGGGUCUUCAAGAUAUAUUAUUCAUCUAGGAAUGGGAAUAAAACUUUAUUAUUUUAUGGCGGAAACUUGAAGAUUUUAUAUUUUGAGGGACAUUGGAAGAGGCCUUCCCCCAUAAUAUGAAUACACGUUUGAAAGAUUUUGUAAGCUUCCCUUUUUUGAGGAGUCUGGCUUUGAUUUAUUCUAGCUUACAUUGCUGUAUUUUGAGAAUGGAUAUUUUGAGAAGUACUUUUGAUCAUGUUAUUGCUUACAGUGUGAUCCCGUUUCGGGUUACUGAACUAUUUUUAGUAUACUGGUGUCACUUGUUUCUUUC